GCUGGCGUAGCUCAGUUGGUAGAGCAGCUGACUUGUAAUCAGCAGGUCCGGGGUUCAAAUCCCCGCGCCAGCU
rnacentral:tRNA from 3 species